rnacentral:rRNA from 1 species
CAUAUGCUUGUCUCAAAAGAUUAAGCCAUGCAAGUCUAAGUAUAAUUGUUUUACGGUGAAACUGCGAAUGGCUCAUUAAAUCAGUUAUAGUUUAUUUGAUGCUAUAGACCGAAAGGUCACUACAUGGAUAUCUGUAGUAACAUAGAGCUAAUACAUGCAAUAUAGUCUGACUUUUUGGAAGGACUAGCACUUAUUAGAUAUUAAACCGAUCCCAGCAAUGGGUUUUAUGGUGAUUCAUAGUAACUGAACAAAUCACAUGGUCUUGUACCGGUGAUGUUUUCAUUCAAAUUUCUGCCCUAUCAACUAGAUGGUAGUAUAUAGGACUACCAUGGUUGUAACGGGUAACGAGGAUUAGGGUUUGAUUCCGGAGAAGGAGCAUGAGAAACGGCUACUAUUUCUAAA